rnacentral:rRNA from 1 species
AUUGAACGCUGGCGGCAUGCCUUACACAUGCAAGUCGAACGGCAGCACGGACUUCGGUCUGGUGGCGAGUGGCGAACGGGUGAGUAAUGUAUCGGAACGUACCUUUCAGUGGGGGAUAACGUAGCGAAAGUUACGCUAAUACCGCAUAUUCUGUGAGCAGGAAAGCAGGGGAUCGAAAGACCUUGCGCUGAUUGAGCGGCCGAUAUCAGAUUAGCUAGUUGGUGGGGUAAAGGCCUACCAAGGCGACGAUCUGUAGCGGGUCUGAGAGGAUGAUCCGCCACACUGGAACUGAGACACGGUCCAGACUCCUACGGGAGGCAGCAGUGGGGAAUUUUGGACAAUGGGGGCAACCCUGAUCCAGCCAUGCCGCGUGAGUGAAGAAGGCCUUGGGGUUGUAAAGCUCUUUCGGCCGGGAAGAAAUCGCAUAGGCUAAUACCCUGUGUGGAUGACGGUACCGGAAUAAGAAGCACCGGCUAACUACGUG